rnacentral:rRNA from 1 species
AGUGAACGCUGGCGGUAGGCCUAACACAUGCAAGUCGAACGGCAGCACAGUAAGAGCUUGCUCUUACGGGUGGCGAGUGGCGGACGGGUGAGGAAUACAUCGGAAUCUACUUUUUCGUGGGGGAUAACAUAGGGAAACUUACGCUAAUACCGCAUACGACCUACGGGUGAAAGCAGGGGAUCUUCGGACCUUGCGCGAUUGAAUGAGCCGAUGUCGGAUUAGCUAGUUGGCGGGGUAAAGGCCCACCAAGGCGACGAUCCGUAGCUGGUCUGAGAGGAUGGUCAGCCACACUGGAACUGAGACACGGUCCAGACUCCUACGGGAGGCAGCAGUGGGGAAUAUUGGACAAUGGGCGCAAGCCUGAUCCAGCCAUACCGCGUGGGUGAAGAAGGCCUUCGGGUUGUAAAGCCCUUUUGUUGGGAAAGAAAAGCAGCAGGUUAAUACCCCGCUGUUCUGACGGUACCCAAAGAAUAAGCACCGGCUAACUUCGUG